UGUGUAUGUGCCCACAUACGUGGCCAGCAAUACAGCCAGGCAGGGUGGUGGGAGUAACCCUGACAGUUGGAUAAAGACAGAAACAUGCCCCUGAGGACUCCAGCAAUUCUCCACAUUCACUCCACACCUUGAUCAUGUGAGAUGAUAACCAGGGAUGAACAUGGACUCACAGACACUCUCUGUGAAAGGGAGAUGCAGAAUGGCUGCAUGUUAGUGUGAGGUGUGCUGGGCAGAGAGGCUCCAGCCCAGCAUCAUUUGUUCUGCUAGCUUUGGGCCCUUACAGAAGAACACCAACAGCAACGAAAUGAGUGUGGAUCCUUAGCAUAACUCCACUGCACUCAGGAAGGAAUACAACCCAAUGGAAAUAAUGCACUGCCUCGGAAGAAGAUAACUCAUUUUCUCCCUGUACAAAGGCCAAUCCUGCUUUGUUCCCUGUGACUGAGGGAGCCGUACAUUCCCAGAUUGUGUUCCAGUCUCAGUAAAGUGUGCACCAGCACAUCAAAGUUAAACAAUACAGAUUAGCAUUUAUUGUGAAGAAAAAAAGGUGGAUGAAUCUGGGGUCUGGAAAUGGGGAGAUAAAUAGCAGUACAAAUAGUGCAAAGGUACGCACUGUGCACCCUACUUCUGCAAAGGACACUUGGUGCCCCUUAUUCCUGCCCUGCAGUCCCACUUCCAGUUCCAGCUCUGGGCUCCCCAUACAGCUGUUCUAGUGCCCCUCUCCUGUGACGUUCUGCACACCCUGCUCUUCCAGGCCUGGGAUCCCCAUGCAGCUCUGGUCAUUACUUUGUAAACGCUCCCUAGUGAAA